UACGGAGGGUGCAAGCGUUAUCCGGAUUCACUGGGUUUAAAGGGUGCGUAGGAGGGCAGGUAAGUCAGUGGUGAAAUCUUCGAGCUUAACUCGGAAACUGCCGUUGAUACUAUCUGUCUUGAAUACCGUGGAGGUGAGCGGAAUAUGUCAUGUAGCGGUGAAAUGCUUAGAUAUGACAUAGAACACCAAUUGCGAAGGCAGCUCGCUACACGAAUAUUGACUCUGAGGCACGAAAGCGUGGGGAUCAAACAGG
rnacentral:rRNA from 2 species